rnacentral:lncRNA from 1 species
AUCCCUCGUUGCUGUGGCUCUGGCGUAGGCCGGCAGCUACAGCUCCAAUUCGACUCCUAGCCUGGGAACCUCCAUAUGCCGUGGGAGCAGCCAAAGAAAUGGCAAAAAAAAAGACCAAAAAAAAAAAAUGUAUAUAUAUAAAAUAUAAUCAUGUGGAAGCUACCCCUGAAAGAGAAGACGAACUCCUUGUUCUUCAGAUGCUUACAGUUAAGGAAAUGGGAAAGGAUCAAGAGAAAUGGGAAGUAUUUGCAAAUAAGGAGGGGGGAUAUGUGUAAGGGGGAAGGAUCUGGGCUGACUAAGGAACGCCAGCCUGCUCUUCCUAAAGAAGAUCAAUUUGCACUCUUAUAGCACUUCUCAUUCGGAGAUCUCAAGGUAUAUGACACCUCUUGGGUACCAGAGAUUUAGAAUACGGAAUAACCAGGGGCCAGAAGAAGGGAUGGGAAACAUACCUAAUAGAUGUUCCAGGAGGAGUUAGGUAAGCGUGUCAUUGCCUGCAUUGGAAUUGGGCCACAAUACAGGAUGUGAGUGAGCUCUCAGACUUUCAGGGCAAGGAGAUGAUAAUAUCAGUCUGUCAGCUCCAGUGUAAAGGAGUAUGCAGGUUAGUUUCAUUGCCCCUAAUAGUAUAAAGACUAGUGUGUGUGUGUGUGUGUGUGUGUGUGUAUAUAUAAAAUAUUCCUUAUACUAUUAUGCAUGAAAUAGUGUAAGGAAUAGUGUAUAUACAUAUACUACGAGGGGCAUAUAGUAUUAUGCCCCUAAUAGUGUAAAGAAUAGUGUAUAUGUAUAUUCCUUAUACUAUUAUGCAUGAAAAUGUUUUAUUUUUGCAUUUCUCAAAAUCGCUAUUUCCAAGCUAGGUGCAUCCUGCCAAAGCCUGCAUUGCCUCCAUUUCUUCCACAUCAUCCGCAGACCUCGUCCGCUUGCCUGAAACUCCUGACCUUUCCCCUCUUGGGCUGCCUCAAGUCUGCAUAAGUGAUGCGCAAGGAACCUGUCCCUACUGGGACUGAAGAGGAGACAGGUGAUGACACAUCCUUCUUCACGUGCUUCCCGUUUGCCUCCUCCCCUCAUUUCCGACUUGGACUUGGACUUCUCAUAACCUUUCCAGGUGCUGCCUCGUUGCACAGCAUCUCUUGCCAUCUCGCCUCUCUUCCCAGUUCAACAGUGUUGGACAACUCGAGAAAUUCAGGUUGGCCAGGAAGGCUACAGAAGCCGACCCUGGAUGACUUAAAUAAAAAAAGAAGAGUGAAUUGAAUGAAUGCGUCAAUUCACAGUCAUGAUGGCAAAACCGAAGAACAGGUUGAGAGGAUGGUCGGAGCCAUGGGAGAGAAAGGCGGUCAGAAUCACAACACAAAUCAGACCACAGUGCAGCCUGAGACAUCAGAAAGAAUCUCUACUGCUCUCGCUUCUCUGUCGCCGCCUCCAGAGUCAAAGCCCCAGGGGAAACAGCCAACUGGCCCCAGUUCCCAUGAAGUGAGGUAGGGUAAGACAAUUUGCCUUUUUUUUUUUUUUACCUUCUGGAAUGAGAGA